ensembl:snRNA U6 U6 spliceosomal RNA
GUGCUUGCUUCAGGAGCACAUAUACUAAAAUUGAAAUGAUACAGAGAAGAUUAACAUGGCCCCUGCACAAGGAUGGCAUGCAAAUUUGUGAAGUGUUCCAAGUUUUU